GAGUACUAACUACGGAACAUUUGCGAUCAGACCAGUAAGAUUGGUGGGUUGGUGCUGGUCUCUUGAUCCAUUUGUUUCUGGACAGCCUUCACAGCUGCAACUCUUGCUGCGUUUGCUGCUUUAUUUGCUGCAGCUACCACUUUGUUAACUCUUUCGUCCACCCUUCCUGCAUCGAACGCUUUCUGUGCAGCUCUUCUUGCUUCCUGGACUGCAGCGAGAACCUUAGCAUGGCUGACAGCAUAAGAAGACCCUGGAUGGCUAUUUUCAAGACUGGGAACAU
rnacentral:misc_RNA from 1 species